rnacentral:rRNA from 1 species
AUUGAACGCUGGCGGCAGGCCUAACACAUGCAAGUCGAACGGAUGUAGCGAGCUUGCUCCUGGAUUCAGCGGCGGGCGGGUGAUUAAUGCCUAGGAAUCUGCCUGGCAUUGGGGACUAACGUCCGGAAACGGGCGCUCAUACCGCAUCCGUCCUGAGGGCGACAGUAGUGGAUCUUAGCACCUCACGCUAUCAGAUGAGCCUGGGUCGGAUGAGCUAGUUGGGGGGGUAAAGGCCUACCAAUGCUACGAUCCGUAACUGCCCUGAGAGGAUGACCAGUCACACGGGAACUGAGACACGGCCCAGACUCUGACGGGAGGCAGCAGUGGGGAAUAUUAGGCGAGGGGGGAGAGCGUGAUCCAGCAAUGCCGCGGGUGUGAAGAAGGUCUUCGGAUGGUAGAGCACUGUAAGUUGGGAGGAAGGGCAGUAAGUUAAGACCGGGCUGUUUUGACGCUACCAACAGAAGAAGCACCGGCUAACUACGUG